AAGUCGAACGAGGUCCUCGGACCUAGUGGCGCACGGGUGAGUAACAUGUGGGAAUCUACCUGAAGGUUCGGAAUAACUGCGGGAAACUGUAGCUAAUACCGGAUGUGUCUGCAAAGAGAAAGAUUUAUCGCCUUCAGAUGAGCCCGCACUAGAUUAGCUAGUUGGUGAGGUAACUGCUCCACCAAGGCUACGAUCUAUAGCUGAUUUGAGAGGAUGAUCAGCCACACUGGGACUGAGACACGGCCCAGACUCCUACGGGAGGCAGCAGUAGGGAAUAUUGGACAAUGGGGGAAACCCUGAUCCAGCAAUGCCGCGUGAGUGAAGAAGGCCUUAGGGUUGUAAAACUCUUUCAUCAACGAUGAUAAUGACAUUAAUUGAAGAAGAAGCUCCGGCUAACUUCGUGCCAGCAGCCGCGGUAAUACGAAGGGGGCUAGCGUUGUUCGGAAUCACUGGGCGUAAAGCGUAUGUAGGCGGAUCAAAAAGUUAGAUGUGAAAUCCCUGGGCUCAACCCAGGAACUGCAUUUAAAACUAGUGAUCUAGAAUUUGGUAAGGGUUAGUAGAAUUUCCAGCGUAGAGGUGAAAUUCGUAGAUAUUGGAAAGAAUACCAGAAGCGAAGGCGACUAACUAGGCCAUUUUUGACGCUGAGAUACGAAAGCGUGGGUAGCAAACAGGAUUAGAUACCCUGGUAGUCCACGCAGUAAACGAUGAGUGCUAGUCGCUGGUGCAAUAGUAUCAGUGUCGUAGCUAACGCGUUAAGCACCCCGCCUGGGGAGUACGGUCGCAAGAUUAAAACUCAAAUAAAUUGACGGGGACCCGCACAAGCAGUGGAGCAUGUGGUUUAAUUCGACGCAACGCGAAGAACCUUACCAGCGUUUGACAUGGAAAGUACUGGUUACAGAAUGGUAACUUUCAGUACG
rnacentral:rRNA from 1 species